rnacentral:rRNA from 1 species
AUGUACAAGGUUUCCGUAGGUGAACCUGCGGAAGGAUCAUUA